GGAAUCUUUCACAAUGGGCGAAAGCCUGAUGGAGCAACGCCGCGUGCAGGAUGACGGCCUUCGGGUUGUAAACUGCUUUUAUAUCCGAGAAAUAUGAUGGUAAGAUAUGAAUAAGGAUCGGCUAACUACGUGCCAGCAGCCGCGGUCAUACGUAGGAUCCGAGCAUUAUCCGGAGUGACUGGGUGUAAAGAGUUGCGUAGGUGGCAUAGUAAGUAGAUAGUGAAAUCUGGUGGCUCAACCAUUCAGACUAUUGUCUAAACUGCUAAGCUCGAGACCGUUAGGGGUAACUGGAAUUUCUAGUGUAGGAGUGGAAUCCGUAGAUAUUAGAAAGAACACCGAUAGCGUAGGCAGGUUACUGGGACGGUUCUGACACUAAGGCACGAAAGCGUGGGGAGCAAACG
rnacentral:rRNA from 1 species